GCGAGAAUGUGCAUGAUGUUUCCUUGGAGGACAAGAGCGAGAAUUUGCAUGAUGUUUCCUUGGAGGACAAGACGAGUGUUGAAGAUGAUGAAAUUUUUUUUCUCUUUGGGAUUUUUAAAGAAGAAGAACAAUCUCAUCUUGAUUUAAGCAGCGAGCCUAAUAGUAUGAUCGAGAUCGUGCCGCAAAAUCAAGUUGAAGAAGUUGAAAUGAUUGAAAUGGUUUUACCUAUUCACAUUGAAGACAAGAAGAUUGUGCUUGAAGAAGAUUUGAUUGAAAAUGUGAAAUUUAUUGGAGAGCGCAUUGAGCGGCAAUUGAGGAAGGGCAAGAGUUAUUUGAUCGUUGUUCGUUCUUGGAAGUCGUCAUCGGCUCAAAGAAUGUACAAGCGAAGGAAGUUGAUGAAGUUUGGAUACUUCAAAGUUUCGAGGAAGAUUGAUGAGCAAGGCUACAAGUUUGAAUUACAAGAUGAUUUGCUCCUACACUAUAAGUUGCAUCCUCCAGACUGUAUUCAAACUCGAGGACGAGUUUCUUUUAAGAGGGGGAGAAUGAUGUAGGAAGGUAAAUUAGGUUAUUUUAGGUAAUUUGGGAUUAUAGAAUAUUUAUUGUUUUAAGAAUUUCUAUUUUAGUUUAAGUCAAUUAUGGUAUGUGUCCUAGUCUUUUAUUUCUAUAAUAAUUGUGAUUUAGUUUCCCUUUUUAGGUUAACUUAGAGAAGUUGGUUUCUUCUAUUAUAAAUAGAGAAACCUUGUCAUUGUUUUAAAAAAGUUCAGAUUUAAUUAUUCAAUAAAACUCCCCUUUUAUAAUUACAUUUGGGAUUAUCUAUCAAAAUCUAUCUUGUAGAGUCGUUUGGAUUAGAGCGUCAUCUAAUCUCGCUUUAUGCGUUAUUAAAAAUCUCAUUGAGUCGUCUUGAUUAGAACGAUAUCUAAUCACGCUUCAAUUAAAGGGUAACUUAAUCGCGUUGGUUUAGUCCAAUACUAGAACGAUAUCUAGUGUUUUUAUCCAAUCAAUCCUACUUCCGCUAUGCCUCGCCCCUUCACCAUAUAAAUUAAAUUAUUUAAUGUGAAAUUAAAGAAUGUAGGGUGGUCCCCUCCCCCUGCUAUUUUUGGUUUAUUAUGUAAUAAUGCUUAUGGGAUUGUACACUCCCGUUUAGUGUUGCAUUAGCUCUUCGUGAGCCCUUCUUUAAUAAUAAAAAAAAAAUGUUGGGUGGGUGUAUAAUAAAAGAAGCGGGAGUUAUGUAAUAAAAAAAAAUUACUUAUUUGUAGAUUUGACUUGAGGAUAAAGGGGCAUGUGAGUGAUGUCAGGGUUGAGCUUAAAAAAGGCCCAUACGAGUGGUCUUCAUGGCUCAAAUACCUUACGUAGCCCACUUAUAAAAUUGGGCCUUCAAAAGAGUUUUAAGUCAACAACUGUUGAACUUGUUCAUUUUCAUCCUACCUUGUGACAUGUUUUGGUUUUUUUUUUUUUUGGUUAAUCUCUCUGAUUCUUUUUAGUUUUUUAUUUAUUUAUUUUUAAAUAGAAUUUUAUGCUAAUUAGUAUAUUAUGAAUAUUCCUAUUCAAAUAUGUACAUGGGUAAAGUGGAAUGCUUAACACUCGGUAACAAUGAAAAUAGUAAUAUUAGUAAUCAUUUGACAAGUUUCAAUUUAUAAUCUAAUAUGUAGCUUGGUGCUUAGGUUCGGAUGUUCAGAUGAAUUUAAAAUACAUAGUUAAAAGAUAAGAAAAAUAUGAACUAGAAUGCACUAUUCUUGUCUUUAGUGUAUCGAAGUUUAUAUCUUCUUUUUCUUUUUUAAUCUUUCAACUGCAUCUUGAUAAUUUUAAAAUAUGAACGUCAGCAAUUAAGCAUGACUCAUCAUAUGCUAUAUUAAUUUAAAUAUACAUUUUGCAUUAAAAAAUAAACAAUAAUAAAUUCUAGUUUGUAAUCAACCCUUCUAAUAAAAGACUUGUUUAAUAUAGUAGUAAGGAUCCUGCAACACCAUCAUUAUGAAUUUUAAUUUGACUUUUAAGAAUGGACAAAGAUCCUCUUUUAAUAAUUUUUUCCCCUAAUAUUUUCAAGUGAAAUAAGUGGUUAAGAUUGAAUUUUAAAAUUUGAUAUUGACAAUCAAGCCAAAUUUUUUUUCACUUUAUUUAGAAAUAAAUUUAUAAAUAUUGAAGGACUAAGAGAGAUUAAAAGAGAUUGAAAAAAAAAGGAGAGAAUUCUAAUCCUUGAAGAACAAACCCAAAUUCUCUAUCCUAUCAAAUGAAAUUCUAAUGCAAAAUAAAGAAAAAUGAUGGGUAAAAAUCAGUGCUCUAAAAGUGAGCGGAGAAUUGAUUCUUCUUCCUUUACUUUAUAAAGAGAUGGUGCUAAUAAUAAUAGGAAAAAAAACUAACACACCCCCAACGUUUAGACAAAAGGACAAAAACCCCCUAACGUUUCAAAAAAGACAUUUACACUCUCAUUCACUAACGGAAACAGUUACUUUUAACGGAAAUAGUAAUUUUAAUAUAUAAUUACCGUUAUUCCUUUCUAGCACAUAAAAAAUAAAUGUUAAUUG
rnacentral:lncRNA from 1 species